rnacentral:rRNA from 1 species
UGAGGAAUAUUGCGCAAUGGGCGAAAGCCUGACGCAGCGACGCCGCGUGGGGGAUGAAGGUCUUCGGAUUGUAAACCCCUUUCGGGAGGGAAGAUGGAAUGGGGUAACCCAUUCGGACGGUACCUCCAGAAGCAGCCACGGCUAACUUCGUGCCAGCAGCCGCGGUAAUACGAAGGUGGCAAGCGUUAUUCGGAUUUACUGGGCGUACAGGGAGCGUAGGCGGUUCGGUAAGCCCUUUGUGAAAUCUCCAGGCUUAACCUGGAACAGUCGGAGGGGACUGCCGGGCUAGAGGACGGGAGAGGAGCGCGGAAUUCCCGGUGUAGCGGUGAAAUGCGUAGAGAUCGGGAGGAAGGCCGGUGGCGAAGGCGGCGCUCUGGAACGUUUCUGACGCUGAGGCUCGAAAGCGUGGGGAGCAAACAGGAUUAGAUACCCCAGUAGUCCCUGAGCGGGCUGGCAAGGCGCAU